rnacentral:rRNA from 1 species
GACGAACGCUGGCGGCGUGCUUAACACACGCAAGUCGAACGGUAAGGCCCUUCGGGGUACACGAGUGGCGAACGGGCGAGUAACACGUGGGUGAUCUGCCCUGCACUUCGGGAUAAGCCUGGGAAACUGGGUCUAAUACCGGAUAGGACUCCGGACUGCAUGGUCUGGGGUGGAAAGCUCUUGCGGUGUGGGAUGGGCCCGCGGCCUAUCAGCUUGUUGGUGGGGUGAUGGCCUACCAAGGCGACGACGGGUAGCCGGCCUGAGAGGGUGACCGGCCACACUGGGACUGAGAUACGGCCCAGACUCCUACGGGAGGCAGCAGUGGGGAAUAUUGCACAAUGGGCGCAAGCCUGAUGCAGCGACGCCGCGUGAGGGAUGACGGCCUUCGGGUUGUAAACCUCUUACAGCAUCGACGAAGCGAAAGUGACGGUAGGUGCAGAAGAAGGACCGGCCAACUACGUGCCAGCCGCCGCGGUAA